GUAGGUGGCAAGCGUUGUCCGGAAUUAUUGGGCGUAAAGCGCGCGCAGGUGGGAUAAUAAGUCUGAUGUUAAAGUUCGGGGCUCAACCCCGUGAAGCAUUUGGAUACUGUUAUUCUUGAGUGCAGGAGAGGAAAGUGGAAUUCCUAGUGUAGCGGUGAAAUGCGUAGAUAUUAGGAGGAACACCAGUGGCGAAGGCGACUUUCUGGACUGUGUCUGACACUGAGGCGCGAAAGCCAGGGGUAGUGAACGGGAUUAGAUACCCCGGUAAUCCUGGCCGUAAACGAUGGGUACUAGGUGUUGGGGGUAUCGACCCCUCCAGUGCCCGGAGUUAACGCAAUAAGUACCCCGCCUGGGGAGUACGGCCGCAAGGUUG
rnacentral:rRNA from 1 species